rnacentral:rRNA from 1 species
GUCCGGACACUGUGAGGAUUGACAGACUGAUAGCUCUUUCUUGAUUCGGUGGUUGGUGGUGCAUGGCCGUUCUUAGUUGGUGGAGUAAUUUGUCUGGUUUAUUCCGAUAACGAGCGAGACUCUAGCCUGCUAAAUAGAACGAGGAUAAACCUUUUCAUAGGUCCUCGAUGCUUCUUAGAGGAAUUAGCGGUGCUUAGCCGCACGAGAUUGAGCGAUAACAGGUCUGUGAUGCCCUUAGAUGUCCGGGGCUGCACGCGUGCUACACUGGAAGACUCAACGUGCUCUCCAUCGCCGAAAGGUGUUGGCAAACCGUUGAAACUCUUCCGUGACUGGGACCGGGAAUUGUAAUUAUUU